GAUGAACGCUGGCGGCGUGCCUAAUACAUGCAAGUCGAGCGAACAGAUGAGGAGCUUGCUCCUCUGACGUUAGCGGCGGACGGGUGAGUAACACGUGGAUAACCUACCUAUAAGACUGGGAUAACUUCGGGAAACCGGAGCUAAUACCGGAUAAUAUAUUGAGCCGCAUGGUUCAAUAGUGAAAGACGGUUUUGCUGUCACUUAUAGAUGGAUCCGCGCCGCAUUAGCUAGUUGGUAAGGUAACGGCUUACCAAGGCAACGAUGCGUAGCCGACCUGAGAGGGUGAUCGGCCACACUGGAACUGAGACACGGUCCAGACUCCUACAGGAGGCAGCAGUAGGGAAUCUUCCGCAAUGGGCGAAAGCCUGACGGAGCAACGCCGCGUGAGUGAUGAAGGUCUUCGGAUCGUAAAACUCUGUUAUUAGGGAAGAACAAAUGUGUAAGUAACUAUGCACGUCUUGACGGUACCUAAUCAGAAAGCCACGGCUAACUACGUG
rnacentral:rRNA from 1 species